CGGACGGGUGAGUAACGCGUGGGUAACCUGCCUUGUACAGGGGGAUAACAGUUGGAAACGGCUGCUAAUACCGCAUAAGCGCACGGCAUCGCAUGAUGCAGUGUGAAAAACUCCGGUGGUAUAAGAUGGACCCGCGUUGGAUUAGCUGGUUGGUGAGGUAACGGCCCACCAAGGCGACGAUCCAUAGCCGACCUGAGAGGGUGACCGGCCACAUUGGGACUGAGACACGGCCCAA
rnacentral:rRNA from 1 species